rnacentral:lncRNA from 1 species
UGCCUCGGCCCAGCGCGGGCCCUCAGCCGGCCAGCCCCUCCGCCGCGGCGCCCGUUAGGCAGCUGCCCUUCAUGGCGCCCGGUUCGCCCGGCAUCGACUCCCUGCGUCCGCUCAGAGGGUGGGAGACGGCCCGUAGAAGGGCGCGGAGUCAGCGGAGGAGCGACGGCCAGGCGGGGAGUGAGGAAACUCCUGCCCCAGCACCCACGGAGCCCACUCCGGUGGUGCCCGCCCCUUGUCGGCCAGAGGGGGCGGGGCCGCGGGCGAUGGGGCGGAGCGGGCUGUGUUCUGGUCCGCUCCCGUGACGCGCUGCCCGCCAGGCUGCGGGGGUCGCGGGGCGUCCGCGUGGGCCAGCGGAGGCCCACAGCUGCGGAGGGAAACCACUGGGAGGGGAGAAGGAGCUCUAGGGAGAGCGAGGCUGCAACGAGGGGAGAGCCGGGCGACGGGCAGGGGCCCAGGCGCGCUCCCCGACUUCCCACAGGCGCGCGCAUGCCUGCGUGUCAGGGCGCGCGCUCCCCCUCUCGGACCGAGGCGACCCCAGUCCGUGAGCGGCUUGGAUCCUCGCCCGUUCCCUCCUGGUCGUUUCCGCAGUAACCUCUUAUCAGAGCGGGCAGCUGUGAGUGGCGCUCACAUCCGCCGCUGCCCUGUCGAAUGGGGGAAAGAGUUCUUGUGUUCUGAGGAGGGUUUGGCUAUGGUCCUUGACCCUAUUCUUGUCUCAGACUUGCCUCCCAGGAAUAUAGGAGGAUUGUAUGCCCUGGCCUCCCUGUGAUGGGGUUGAACUACAUGACAUGUUCUCCGAAUUAAGUGUGAGCAUAGCAUUUAAUUGUUGAUGCAAGACCUUCCAGAACUCUUUUUCUCUUUGCCAUGGCAAUCAUCAGUGUUCCAGAGAGCAUAUGCACGAUCAGCCUUGGUAUUGGAGGGAAGAUGAUGCGGAACAGAGUCCCAGUCACAUCAUGAAGGACAUGUAAAAUGCUGUAGAAGAACCUCUUCUGCAAGACCAUUCAUUCAUGCCUUGAGACAGUAUGAAUCAAGCUGACUUUUUUUUUUUCCAAGGAGUUUUUAAGAACAGCUAUGCAGAGGAGGAAUGACAAGUAGAAGAGGGGAAAAGGGAAAAUAUAAACAAAAAAAACAGUACAUUUCACACAAAAGCAGAGGAACAGAAAGUGAAAUCUGAGACAGACCAUCAAGCUUCAGACCAUCAUGCAGCAAGGGCUCUAGCCAGUUCCAGGUGAAGACCCCACCCCGGGCCAUCAAGGAGCUUCCCUGCCUCCACUAGACAGAGCAGAGUGAGAGUUCCAUGAUCCCCAAUAGGUAGGGGCUAUGCCUCAAGCCAGCAUGAAGCAGUUACAGAAAAAAAGACCAUCAGUUCCUCUGCCUCCCAUGGGGAUCACAUCUUUCAGCAGGGAGAUGAGGCAUAAAAACAAGGUCUGGAGGCAGGGAAUUCAAGGCCGAUUCACACUUCAGCUAUGACAGGAAAUAUCCUCUCCAUAGGGUAUAGGCCAAGUAAAUGACUUUGUAACUUUACUCCUCAUUUUCAUAGGUUGCACCCCAAGUAAGCAAUGGAAUCCUCUAGAGGGUAUUUCCCCAAAAUUCUGUAAUGGGGUCCUUGAGCCCCUAUGCUCGGGCCCACUCCCACACUGUGGAGUGUACUUUCAUUUUCAAUAAAUCCCUCAUUUCUUCCUUGCUCUGUUUGUGCAUUUUGUCCAAUUCUUUGUUCAAGACGCCAAGAACCUGGACACCCUCCACCGGUGACAAUGGCAGAAGGUGAAGGGGAAGCAAGCACAUCUUACCAUGGCGGAUCAGGAGAGAGAAAAGAAGGAGAGUGAGGGGAGAAGUGCCGCACACUUUCAAACAACCAGAUCUCCUGAGAACUCACCCACUAUUACGAAAACAGCAAGGGGGAAGUCUGCCCCCAUGGUUCAGUGACCUCCCACCAGACCUCUCCUCCAAUACAUGAGGAUUACAAUUCGAGAUGAGAUUUGGGUGGGAACACAGAGACAAACUGUAUCAUACAGUAAUCUCAAC